rnacentral:lncRNA from 1 species
CUGAACCUGUUUAUAUUGACUAAGGCCAUAGGGUAUCUCAGAUGAGGCCCAUGUAAGUGAACGUAUCUGACAAUGUACAUUCUUCCCCUUUAUGAAAAUAAAACAUCCAUACAGAAAAUGUGUACCUUAGCAAGCUCCUGUCUAACCCGUACUCCUGAUUUUCACUUACAUGAGAACCCAUGGAGCAAGAAAGCAUAGGACAUAACUCUGCCUCAUCUCUAUGUUGAAGUGCUCAUAUUGAAAGCUAGCAUACAGCAAAGCAUACUGGAAAUGUAAACUCAGGACAGAAGCUAAGUCAAUAGAAGUAAAAUAAAACGUUUUAUUUAGGAAAGUCA